rnacentral:ncRNA from 1 species
CUUAAUUUGGCUCAACGCGGGAAAACACUGGGCCCGGACACCGUAAGCAUUGACAUAUUAAAAGCUCUUUUUCGAUUUAGUGGCUGGUGGUACAUGGCCGUUCUUAGUUGAUGGAGCGAUUUUUUUGGUUUAUUCCGAUAACCAGCGAGACUCUAGCUGCUAAACAGUGGCUAGAUUCUUAUGCCGAGCCUACCUUUUCACAGAGGUUCCUCAUAUGAGAAAUCUCGAGCCGGUUAGGGGCGAGGCUACGUGGCUCGUUUCCAGGUGGCGGAUUGGGGUUAAUCACAAAGCAAAAGAAACUGUAUGUUUCCCUGAGACGCAGGUGG